AGCGGGGGAUCUUCGGACCUCUCGCUAUUGGAUGAGCCCGCGUCGGAUUAGCUAGUUGGUAGGGUAAUGGCCUACCAAGGCGACGAUCCGUAACUGGUCUGAGAGGAUGAUCAGUCACACUGGAACUGAGACACGGUCCAGACUCCUACGGGAGGCAGCAGUGGGGAAUAUUGGACAAUGGGGGAAACCCUGAUCCAGCCAUGCCGCGUGUGUGAAGAAGGCCUUAGGGUUGUAAAGCACUUUCAGUGGGGAGAAAGGCUUGUUGAUUAAUACUCGACGAGAUUGAUGUUACCCACAGAAGAAGCACCGGCUAACUCCGUGCCAGCAGCCGCGGUAAUACGGAGGGUGCAAGCGUUAAUCGGAAUUACCGGGCGUAAAGCGCACGUAGGCGGUGAGUUUAGCCAGCCGUGAAAUCCCCGGGCUCAACCUGGGAAUUGCAGUUGGAACUGGCUCGCUAGAGUAUGGUAGAGGGGUGUGGAAUUUCAGGUGUAGCGGUGAAAUGCGUAGAUAUCUGAAGGAACAUCAGUGGCGAAGGCGACACCCUGGAUCAAUACUGACGCUGAGGUGCGAAAGCGUGGG
rnacentral:rRNA from 1 species